rnacentral:rRNA from 1 species
UCGCCUCCUGCAACACAACUAUGUAUAGGAGGUCCAGCCUGCCCAGUGACUACAAGUUCAACGGCCGCGGUAUUUUGACCGUGCAAAGGUAGCGCAAUCACUUGUCUUUUAAAUAGAGACCUGUAUGAAUGGCUAAACGAGGGCUUAACUGUCUCCCCUUUCCAGUCAGUGAAAUUGAUCUGCCCGUGCAGAAGCGGACAUAAAAAUACAAGACGAGAAGACCCUUUGGAGCUUAAGGUACAAAACUCAACCACGUCAAGCAACUCAAUAAAAAGCAAAAACUUUGUGGAAUAUGAGAUUUUACCUUCGGUUGGGGCGACCACGGAGGAAAACAAAGCCUCCAAGUGGAUUGGGAAAACCUCCUAAAACCAAGAGAGACAUCUCUAAGCCACAGAACAUCUGACCAAACAUGAUCCGGCUGCCCGAAGCCGAUCAACGAACCAAGUUACCCUAGGGAUAACAGCGCAAUCCUCUCCCAGAGUCCAUAUCGACGAGAGGGUUUACGACCUCGAUGUUGGAUCAGGACAUCCUAAUGGUGCAGCCGCUAUUAAGGGUUCGUUUGUUCAACGAUUAAAGUCCUACGUGA